ACUUUUUUUUAUUAGUGAUAGAAAGAUGGCAAUUUUCUCAAAAGUUUUGUUGAUCUUCCUUGUCAGUUUUACCAUUGCAUCAGUUUGUGUUUGUGUAGAAUAUGAAUGUCCAUCGUCGUGUCACAAUUAUAACGGGGGCGUAUGCAAAGAUCUUCAAGACAAGAAAGCAUGCCAAAUAUUUUGCACUAACGAAUUUGGAGAAAUUUGUGAUGCAUAUUGUAUAAAUCACGACGACUACGACAACAAGGUUGCUUGUGACUGUAACCUACCGAAUACAUCUACAAGAUGUUCUCACAAAAAUAAGAUUUAGUUAUUUAUUUCCUAAAAUUUUAAAUUAACAAUUUGAAAUAUUAUAAUGAAAAUUAAAA